UACAGAUCUGGGGAGACAAAUUACAGCUCAGUCAGAUCGGCUGCCAGCGAAGCCCCGUGGGGGAGAGGCCAAGGCACCAUGGAGUCAGGCGGAUUAAGAACGCCUCCUUGAGGAGGGAAAGAGAACAGCAGAGUCCUCAGCCAUGACAGGGACAUGGCUGCCCUCCGGCUUGAGCAAUGACACCUCUCUAGCCUUCACUUGCCCCAAGUCAAGCAGAGAGGCGUAAGCUUCCCUUCAGCACCACCCUGAGGGAGGGCAGGCUGAGCUGCUGCCAUCUGCCCUCCUUCCCUUCGAGUUGCUGAUAGCCCAGGCAGGUCUGAGAUGGAGCAAGUGCUCCAGGCUGCUCAGGGGAGCUGAUUCACCUGUUUCCUGGCCAGCAUAGCCCACUUUGGGGCCUGGGCCAGCUCCAUGCACAGCUGGGGAGGCUGUGCUACUUUGUGCUGUUACUCUGCUGCCUCAGGGGCAGGGAUUUAGGGUCCGUUCCCCCGUCUCCCCCUGGACCGUGUUACGCUCUGGCUCACGGUAAACUUUGAUAUAGGCCGAGCUGCAGACUAACCCCCGUCAGUAACUCUACAGCAGUGAUUCAGGACACCAUUAUAACACUUGUAGCCCUGCCUCAGACAAAGCUAGAGCCCUGCUAAUAAAGGGUGGUUCAGGAUGGCUGCAGCUAACACGGCUCUGGGCCGCUGUGGGGAAGAGGCUCAAAGGGCCAGUCCUGCUCCCAACGCCAAUGAGAGCUUUGCCAUCCAUGCCAAUUGGCCCUUAGCAAACCAUGUCAUUCUGAAACCUGUAAGAACAAGGUCAUUUGAACUAUUCUGGGAGAACCACACUCACUGCAGUCAUCAGAAUGCACAAGUUUUCCUGUCUGUCCCUCUUCAAAAUAAGCAGGAGGAGGGGGGCAGUAAAGUCCAACUGGUUUGGCUCAAAAGACCAGAUGUGCCCUUGUCACCUGAACAGGUCUCCUACUCUGACGCACUGCCCAGCCAACCCAGGGCAAAGGUGAAAGGGAGUCUUCCAAGAUUCUUAACAUGCUUUCCUUGCUCCUGAUCAGAUCUGGAGAAUGGACUGGAAGUAGAGGAUGCAGCAUUUUGUACAGGGCCAACUCGUGCCAGAAGACUCACUCUAGCUCAAUGGGCCCAUACAUCCCUGAUCUGGAGACAGAUUUCCUUCACCUAAUGCAAGGGCUUUGCUGAACACAGGCAGAUUAGUGUAACAUUCUUGCCCGCAUGGAUGCAGGUCAGCAACACUCAGGCAUGGAAGAGACACUCCUCCACAUGACUGCUGUUAGGGCAAUCACAAGCCAAGACUCGCCUGUUAAUACAAUGUUGACAAUGUGGCUUUUAACAGUUAUAAAGCUUUAAACUUUUUCAAUCUCAAUAUCUACAGUCAAUGAAUAAUUGUCUGCCCCCUCCCCCUAUCUCCCAUAGUUGUGAAGAUUUAAAUAGAUCAGAGUUCUUAAAAACAAACCGAUAUUAUGCAUAAGACUUUAAUUCUGCCAAGUCUAUUUAUACAGUGCCUUUCAUCCCAGCACACUUCUCAAAAUGUAUAUAUGUAGGAAUCAUUACACACACACACACACACACACACGGGUGAAAUGCACACCAACUCUACAGCUAAGGAGAAGUAGUAAAGAUGUGUUUGCUAUUAAGGGUUCCCAUUUCUUUACAGAAAGAUAGCUCUUUCCACCCUUGAUCUAAUUAAUACUGCAGUGCACUAUAAAAGUGGUACUAACAUAUCACCAUUUAUUUUGCCAACUAGCAGAAUUAUGGUCAAACUCUCAAAGGAGCAUUCAAAAAAAAAAAAAAUCUGCACUAACUGAGCAAGGCUCUGUGGGUAGAUGUCUGCAAGCCCCUUGGAAAUGCAGCUGCCAUUUAUUCAAUUUGCUCUGCAAUGUAUAUCAAGAUCUAAAACCAAUAAAAAGCUAGAUGAAAAUCCUUGUGUUCUACACAGAAAGCAAUUAGAAGAGUAUGAAGCAGACAAAGUGACUGAUCUCUUCCAAAUCAACAGCUGUGCAAAAUAUUCCCCCUGAGGACAGAAAAGUUACUGCAACUUGGAUCACUAUUAUCAAGAGCUUUGUAUUUUUUUUGGACUUUCAGACAAAAGUUUGUAUCUGACACCCUUACAAAAGUCACUAUUUCAUGUCCCACAGGCCCUAAUCUUGCAAGCUGUGUAAGAGCUCUCUCUGAAGUUCUGCAGGCGGAAGACUUCAAGGAUCAGAGUGUCUCUAGAUUCUAGUUUGAUUUUCUUAAAGGGCCACCGUCAGAAAAAUCAUAAGCCCCGUCCUAUCCCCUGCUCCCACUUAAAUCAUAGCAGGACUGGGACCCAUUAUUGAACACCCACACUUUUUAAAGGCUGUGAGCAAUGAUGUAGAGUAUUCAACAGAAAAAGCCUUUAAAAAACCUAUUGACUUUGUACCAUUCAUCUUGUUUGUUUUCCUUUAGACAUGUCACUAGAGAGGGGGAUUUUCUCUCGGCUUUACCAGGAUAAUUCCAGGUAACAAAUUAGGGUCAGAUCCUCAGCGGAUGUCAAUCUACACCACUUCUGGAAUCACUGGGGCUCUGCGGAGUCACAGCGGCUGAGGAUCUGGCCCUUAACGAGAUCUGGAUGAAAUUUCAUCAGAAUGGUCCAAGACAGCAGAACUGUUGCAGGGGAAACUGACCUUGCAAGAUUUGAGAUGGUGGAGGCUUUGCUAGAUCAGCUGGACCCAGGAAAUUUCCACCAUUCGGGGGCAGACAUCUCCUAAGAGCAACUAGCAGCAUUUCGGCACUGUUGAAUCCAGUCCUGAACCCUAGUCACAAUUCCCCUUUGAACCAAAAUCCUCUCCUCUCCCCCUAACCUAGCUCUCCCUCUCAGCACUGCCUGGGCCCACAUUUUAUACCCUCUUUGUUUCCUUGCUCCAGUUACAGCAGGGGCCAGAGUGACAGAAAGCUCAUGAGAAGGCCCGUCUGUAUGUGACAACUGGACCAGGUUUGCAGCCAGAGGUUCAGAGACAUGGGAAUCAAAGUGACUUACCCAAGCUUCUGAGAGCCUCCCCCCCAUGCCACAGCCAUGAUGGGAUUGAUCUAAUUUUUUCCACGGUUCUGUUUGCUCAUUCAUUUUGUGUGUACUGUGGAGCUGGGAGAUAAUGGCCCCCUGAGAGCUCCCUGUUUGCUUUCUGACCUCCUGAGGGUAGGGGGAGAUUGGGCUCCAGACUUAAGUGAUUGAGCAGUUAAUGAGUGACUUUAGGCCCGAGGUGGAAGGGUGAGAGGCAAAGCAGAGUUGAAGGGGUAAGGAAGGGUCCAUCCAAACCUGGCAGCAUCGCUCCAUAAACUCCUCAGGGGUGCCCAUGUGGCUGGCACAGAUGCCAAACAUUGAAUGGCAAUUAAUAGGGGUGUUUGGGAGGGGAAAUGGGCACAGAGUUAGCUCCGUUUGAAAUGCUUUGGGCGCAGCUGGUCUUUAUUAUAACAUGAAGAUAGAAAGAAAAGUGUUUAAAAAGUAAUAGGUACCAGCUUUAUUGAAUAGGGCAGGUUGGCACCUGUGUUCUUUGUACACACCUGCUGGCAUCUGAACACUAAGACUAGCGUACAGGGAGGAAAAUGGGGCACGUUAACUAACACCAUAGAAAUCCUGGCGCCCAGGGAGUGUUUGAGAUGAACAGUGUGGAGGAAUGGUAACUACAGUAGUUGAAAUAAAUAGAGGCAGAUGGCAUGGAGUGUGGGCAGCUUGAUUAUGGUUUAUUGUUGUUAUUUAAAUGAAGACAAUAUGCUCUGCACUAGGUAGGACAUAAAAGGAACAUGGCCCUGCCCUACACAGUUUAUAAUCCACCUUGACGUCUGGCUUGUAAGCAGCCAGGGGUAUCUUAAGCUGAUAGCAUCCAAGGGCUUUGAGGAGUGGGUCACAGUGCCAUUGGCCAAUGAGAAUGCUCUGUGGGCUCCCAUUGGCUGCUAGCACUAGUGACAGGCGGAGCAGCUGGGAGGUGUAAGUGUAGUGUAGCAGAUAGAGCACUGUACUGGGAGUCAGGAGCGUUCUUAUUGGCAGCCCUGGCCCUGUGACUUGAGUCAAGUGACUCCACUUCUGUGCCCUCUGUGGCAGUUUGGCCAUUUUGGAUUGUAAGUGCUU